AAAAAGAAAAACUCUGGUUUCCGUGUCCAACAUUUGACCGUCCAUCUUAUUUAAAAAAAUUAUAAAAAAAAUUAAAAAGAUAAGUCACACAUAAAAUAUUAAUCAUGUUUUUAUCAUCUAACAACAAUGAAAAUACGAAUUAUAAAAAAAUUUCAUAUAAAACGGACAGUUAAAGUUGGACACGGAAAUCCAGGGUUUGUCUUUUU
rnacentral:pre_miRNA from 1 species